rnacentral:lncRNA from 1 species
AGGCCACAUAAUAGGGUUAUGUUGUGGAUCGUCAAGGACAAUCUGUCACUAUAAUUAGGUAAGAGAUUUUGUAAGGUUUCAUAUGUGAGAUCCAUAAAUCUAUUUAAAUAUUGCCACAUGGAUAAUUUUUUUUAGUACAUCAAUAUUUUUACAUUAAGGGAAUGGUGAGUUCGGUUAAGUCACGUAAUUGGCAACCUAAUUUGGUAUCGAAUUCAUCACGAGAUUCGAACCUAAGACAUCUCACUUCCAAGUGAAGAGGAAUACCAACAGACCGUAGUAUUAAGUGGCACAUGGAUAAAUUUUAAACUAUAUAAAAGUAAGAGAAAUGCCAAGAAUACUCUCUAAAAAAUGAGACUUUUCAUGGAUUUUUUGUCAUAUGUUUUUGGCACAAUAUUUUAUACUAUUGGCACAAGAAUACUCUCUCCUUAACAUUUCUUAAAAAAAAAAUUUAAAAUCGUUAAAAUUAAAUUUAAAAAAAUAAAAAAUUACGAGAUGCGCCUGCAUUUUCACAAUAGCAAGAAUAAUACUCAAUGCCAAGAAGAGAAAGGAGGAGGCCAUCGGCAAAAGGAGAUCAUCGUCAACGAAAGGCCAUCU